rnacentral:rRNA from 1 species
AGACGUCUACAUUAGAUACCCCUGUAGUCCCAGCCGUAAACGAUGCGCGUUAGGUGUAUCGGUGACCACGAGUCACCGAGGUGCCGAAGGGAAACCGUGAAACGUGCCGCCUGGGAAGUACGGUCGCAAGGCUGAAACUUAAAGGAAUUGGCGGGGAGCACCACAACGGGUGGAGCCUGCGGUUUAAUUGGACUCAACGCCGGGAAGCUCACCGGAUAAGACAGCGGAAUGAUUGCCGGGCUGAAGACUCUGCAUGACUAGCUG